rnacentral:rRNA from 1 species
UACGUAGGUGGCAAGCGUUGUCCGGAUUUACUGGGCGUACAGAGCGCGCAGGCGGUCGUUCAAGUCGCGUGUGAAAGCCCCCGGCUCAACUGGGGAGGGUCACGCGAUACUGAUCGACUCGAAGGCAGGAGAGGGAAGUGGAAUUCCCGGUGUAGUGGUGAAAUGCGUAGAUAUCGGGAGGAACACCAGUGUCGAAGGCGACUUCCUGGCCUGUUCUUGACGCUGAGGCGCGAAAGCUAGGGGAGCAAACGGG